rnacentral:rRNA from 1 species
UUCCUACGGGACGCAGCAGUGGGGAAUAUUGCACAAUGGGCGAAAGCCUGAUGCAGCAACGCCGCGUGAAGGAAGACGGUUUUCGGAUUGUAAACUUCUAUCAAUAGGGAAGAAAGAAAUGACGGUACCUAAAUAAGAAGCCCCGGCUAACUACGUGCCAGCAGCCGCGGUAAUACGUAGGGGGCAAGCGUUAUCCGGAUUUACUGGGUGUAAAGGGAGCGUAGACGGAAUUGCAAGUCUGAUGUGACAAUCCGUGUCCCAACCCCGGAACUGCAUUGGAAACUGUAUUUCUAGAGUGUCGGAGA